GGCUCAUAUCGUCAGUUGGACUGAAGGACAUUCUCGCAUCACAUUUCACAGCUGCUACAGGACUGAGAUAUUAAGUUGAAUUUCAAAGAAUUUCGAAGUGAUACUUGGUGUGAAAAACAGGAAAUAUUUCUUUUUCCGUGGCCGUAAUUUUACAGGACAGAAGCUGCAGCCUCAGCAGGCACCUAACUGAUCAAGAUGUUUAAAAAACUCCUGCAAUAUGUUCGUACUGAAAAGAUCGGUACCCCCGCGACAGUCAUCGGGAUGGUCAGCAUGACUUUCUUUCUGCGGAGCAUGAUGUGCGCUUGCAAAGGGCGCACUUUUGAAUGCAAUGAAAUCAUCGUCGUGCCUGUUUUUUUAAUAUUUUUCCUGAUGCUCCUGAUGGACCAGACAUUUCGGAGCACCGCGAAACAUGCAUCCACGUUUUUAUGCCUUGUAGUCAAGCGCGUAAUCAGAGCGUUUCUAAUCAGUCUGCUGUGGAUUGUAGCAUUGUUGAUUUUCACGGACUGGUAUGGUUGCUGUAACACUGAUGAAAACACGAGCAAGCUGUUCUGCAAAACUUGGCCCAAGCCAACUGAAGAAGAAGAAGCUCAAAAAACUGAAGUGCAAAUCAAGUCCAAGCUUACUGCUUACUCUCUGCUUCUCAGCAUGACUCUUGUAGCUUUCUUCAUGACUUGGAGUGGGUGGAGAAAAUGGUUUGUAAAAAAAUUCAGUUGUUGCAACAAGAAAACUUUUUACUACAAACUGAUUUUGGAAGAAGAGAAAAAAGUUCUGGAGGAGCUUUUGAGGAAAGAAGCAAAUGAGACUUUGACUAAAGAAAUCAUGAGCAACAUAAAAAGGAAAGACUGGGACGGCUGUUUUAAUGUUGCUCAACAAAUGAUCAAUAAAGCAAAACAUCAAAAACCAGAAGCAACCAACCAGCAGAUCAACUGGAUCAGUGAGGGGAGCUCCAACAGAGGGGGACAGCAUCAUCAAGCAGCAGCACAUCAGCAGGCACAAAACUAUGAACUUGAUGCAGUGGCACAAGAAAACAAAGACACCAUGCCAUUAUUUGACGAAUCCGCCUAAAAGAACAUCAAGUGAUGCAGCUCCAGAAACAACGCAAGUGACCACAGACAAGUUAUACACCUUGUCAGGCGACGUGAGGUCUAGAGAGAGAGAGGUCGGAUAAAAGUUCUUAAUAUCCAGCCUUAUGUGAUUAUAAAUGGAUUGGGAUGAAUCUGUAAGAGUUUUUGGAAAGGGAAGCAGGAGACUGUUGUUGUAGAGUGGAUUGAGGAGACUGAAGCUGUUCAGCUGCAAACAGAGAGUUCAGUUCCUUGCAAAACAAACACGUUUAAAACAAGACAAGAAAAAAGAAGAAAAAAGUUUAAAUGUUCUGUUCUAAAUCUGUUGUGUUCUACAAAUUAAUUUGAGAAUUGUAGGAAAAGACACGGUGAAUUCUUUUUUUUUGUUUUUGUUUUUUGUUUUUAAAUCCUAUGCCAACUCUGUUUAGCUUUGUAAAUAUUGGCUAUAUUGUAUGGAGACGUCUUAUUUUACUCUUACUUUAUUUUGCAAAUUUAUUUGAAUUAGGCUAUCCAAUUAGGAUAAAUUUUGUUGUUGGCUGUAAAGAUCUGGAUGAAUAUUUUACUUUAUUCUUUAUUUUAAUUUUUUUUAAUUCUGUUUUUCAGUUUUAUUUUUCAAGACUUGGUGAAUUGACUUUUAUUUUUAUAACUUGGCCUACACUUUUUAGUAUGUUGGCAACAAUCAGAAGCGUUAUUGUUAGGAUCGAAUAUAUUUGAUAUAGGCCAUCUAAUUUAGGUAAAUAAAAUUUUUUUAGUUGUUAUAAUCUAAUGAGGAAUAUUUUAUUUAAUUUUUUGUUGUGUUGUUUUUCAGUUUCCCCCCUGAGGGAUUGCCCCCUUGACAUGGUCAGGGGAGUUUGCGUGCCUCAGUGACCCUAAGAGCUAGACCAGCAGAAGCUUAGUCUUCAGGUGGGACACCAACAUUGGUCAGGUCUUAGGGUAGAGGCCUGACAAAGUGCAAUCCAAUUACAUGACAAAAACAGUUAUCCAGAGCACCCCACCACCACCCCGCCCCUUUCCUGGCUCCAUUGCCCCCACUUGCAUUCUUUACAUUUCUAACUGCCCCCUCAUAUAUGCCUGUCUAGAACCGGCCCAGGUUGCAAAUGUUCAUCCAGCUAUUUGUUUUUAGGAGCACUUUUCUGUCAAGUGGUGGGUUACCACCAUCGCAGCUUUUGAGAUGUAUCUACAAAUUCAAAUUGAUCUUAUAUUUUUCAUUAAAUAAUAAAAUAUUUCAGUUUAAA